UAGUUACGUGAGYCCGAGAGAGCGAUUUUUAAGAAUAACAGGACACGAAGCAAUAUUUUUUUUGAAUUUCCAUUGACCUUGUUCCUAAAGAGUAUUCCUAGAGAUCAAACAUUGCUAGUCAGUUAGCCCUCAAACAAUCAAGACAAGAAAGCCCAAGCAUCAGUCAGAGCUCUAUAAUGGAAAUCCUAAUGAAAUACUAAAGAAUAYUCUAGGAAGGUCGUUAAAGUUUGGAGCAUUUCAGUCUUUUUCUAUGCAAUAGCCAUUCUGAUAACUGUCGUUCUCAAAUACUUCGUGAUUGUCAUUAACGCUACGCUUAUGUCAACUCAAAAACCAUCCAGAGUUCAACUAGGGCCUUUCAUUUCCUAUUGCAAGGACAUUUUGAGUCAAAUGAAAAUCAACUUCUUGUAAUAAGGACGUUCAAAUAUUACUUGGGAAUAAACAAAACUCCCCA